rnacentral:rRNA from 1 species
AGCAACAAAUGCCCUGCUUCCAGGAAAAGCCUCUAAGCAUCAGGUAACAUCAAAUCGUACCCCAAACCGACACAGGUGGUCAGGUAGAGAAUACCAAGGCGCUUGAGAGAACUCGGGUGAAGGAACUAGGCAAAAUGGUGCCGUAACUUCGGGAGAAGGCACGCUGACACGUAGGUGAAGUGAUUUACUCAUGGAGCUGAAGUCAGUCGAAGAUACCAGCUGGCUGCAACUGUUUAUUAAAAACACAGCACUGUGCAAACACGAAAGUGGACGUAUACGGUGUGACGCCUGCCCGGUGCCGGAAG